AGCCGUACCAGUGGCAGCGCCGAUCGCCGAUGGGUCUACGCCAAGUUUGGUGGCUGAUAAACCAAAGAGUUCGUUCUCUUCGUGGUUUUAUCAGAAGCAAAAUCCCAACUCUGAGGGUGUUUCCUGGUGCAGGCUCUUAUCCCAGUCUUCACAGAAUCCGAAUGUUCCUAUUUCCAUAUCGAACUUCACAAUUGGUUCUAGUAGAAAUUCCAACUUCCCGCUGAAGGAUCAUACUGCAAGUGGAACUUUGUGCAAGAUCAAGCAAUCCCAGCGUGAGGGGAAUGCUGUAGCUGUGCUUGAAAGUACUGGCAGCAAAGGAUCUGUGCUAGUAAAUGGAACGCUCGUCAAGAAGAGUACCAGUUGUGUGCUUAACUCGGGUGAUGAGGUGGUUUUUGGU